GCGUGAUCUCAUGGCUCCGUGGCAGAGCGUGAGACUUGUGUUGAUCUCAGGGUUGUGGGUUCGAGCCCCAUGUUAGGCA